rnacentral:misc_RNA from 1 species
GAUGAAGAACGUAGCGAAAUGCGAUAAGUAAUGUGAAUUGCAGAAUUCAGUGAAUCAUCGAAUCUUUGAACGCACAUUGCGCCCUCUGGUAUUCCGGGGGGCAUGCCUGUUCGAGCGUCAUUAUAACCACUCAAGCUCUCGCUUGGUAUUGGAGUUCGCGAUCUCGCGGCUCCUAAAAUCAGUGGCGGUGCCUGUCGGCUCUACGCGUAGUAAUACUCCUCGCGAUUGAGUCCGGUAGGUUUACUUGCCAGCAACCCCCAAUUUUUACAGGUUGACCUCGGAUCAGGUAGGGAUACCCGCUGAACUUAAGCAUAUCAAUAAGCGGGGA